CCUACGGGUGGCAGCAGUGGGGAAUAUUGCACAAUGGGCGAAAGCCUGAUGCAGCAACGCCGCGUGAGCGAUGAAGGUCUUCGGGUCGUAAAGCUCUGUCCUAAGGGAAGAAUACUUACGGUACCUUAGGAGGAAGCCCCGGCUAACUACGUGCCAGCAGCCGCGGUAAUACGUAGGGGGCUAGCGUUAUCCGGAAUUACUGGGCGUAAAGGGGGCGGAGGCGGCCCUUCAAGUCAGAGGUGAAUCGCUUCGUCUCAACCGGAGUAAGCCUUUGAAACUGGAGGGCUUGAGUGCAGGAGAGGAGAGUGGAAUUCCCAGUGUAGCGGUGAAAUGCGUAGAUAUUGGGAGGAACACCAGUGGCGAAGGCGGCUCUCUGGACUGUAACUGACGCUGAGGCACGAAAGUGUGGGGAGCGAACAGGAUUAGAUACCCGUGUAGUC
rnacentral:rRNA from 1 species